AAGAAAAGAAGCAGAAGAAGAACGAGACCCAGAAGAAGAAGCAGAAGCAGAAGAAGCAGCAGAAGAAACAAAAGCAGAAGUAGAAGUACCACCAUAAGCAGAACGAGAAACAGAAGGAGGAAAAGCUGAAGCAGAAGCAGCAGAGCCAAAACGAGAACCAGAAGAAGAAGCCAAAGCAGAAGUAGAAGAAGAAUAGAAGCAACAGGGGCAGAAGGAUAAACAGAAGAAGGAGAAGCAGUAGCUGAACCAGAACCAGAGGAAGCAGCA